GGGCAAGAGUUCAACAUAUGUAUAUCAUGGUAAAAAGGCAGUUAGAUAAGAAAUACCAUCAGUUUACUCAUUCUUUAUGUAAAGGUAAAAUUUAGAUAUAAAUGAAUAAUUUAAUGUAAGUUGACAGAAAUUGAAUCUGCGACAGCCUUGAGGGAAACUGGGAUUAGAUACCCCAUUAUUCCUGGUCAUAAAUGAAUAAUGAUUUACCAGAGUACUAUGAAUCUUUAAUAAAAUUUAAAACUCAAAGGGCUUGGCGGUGUUUUAGACCUCUCAGGGGAACCUGUCUCAUAAUCGACAAUCCACGUUAAACCUAACCUCUAUUUGCAAUUCAGUUUGYAUACCGUCGUCGUCAGGUAACUUUUAAAAAACAAGAAGUUGGCAAUAAAAUUAAUUAAAUUUAAACGUCAGAUCAAGGUGCAGCCUAUAUAGAGGUGAGGAUGGGUUACAAUUAAAAUUUAUAAUUACGAAUAGGAUAAUGAAAUAUUUUUCUUAUUGAAGGAGGACUUGAUAGAAAUAUGAUUUAUAUAUAUAAUUUGAAUAAGGCUCUGAAAC
rnacentral:rRNA from 1 species